rnacentral:rRNA from 1 species
UGACACAGGUGCUGCAUGGCCGUCGUCAGCUCGUGUCGUGAGAUGUUGGGUUAAGUCCCGUAACGAGCGCAACCCCUAUCCCUAGUUGCUAGCAGUUCGGCUGAGAACUCUAGGGAGACUGCCGGUGACAAACCGGAGGAAGGUGGGGAUGACGUCAGGUCAUCAUGGCCCUUACGGCCAGGGCUACACACGUGCUACAAUGGCGCGCACAGAGGGCUGCAAACCCGCGAGGGGGAGCCAAUCUCACAAAACGCGUCGUAGUCCGGAUCGCAGUCUGCAACUCGACUGCGUGAAGUCGGAAUCGCUAGUAAUCGUGAAUCAGAAUGUCACGGUGAAUACGUUCCCGGGUCUUGUACACACCG